GGCCUCGUAGCUAAGUUGGUUGGGCGCGCGUUGUACAAAAGAGUAGGCGGCGUCCAUGCGUGGGUUCAAAUCCCACCGAGGCUA
rfam:Echinostoma caproni strain Egypt genome assembly, scaffold: ECPE_contig0009320